GCUUACGGCCACACCUCCCUGAGCACGCCCGAUCUCGUCUGAUCUCGGAAGCUAAGCAGGGUCGGGCCCCGGUAGUACUUGGAUGGGAGACAGCCUGGGAAUACCAGGUGCUGUAAGCC
ensembl:rRNA 5S_rRNA 5S ribosomal RNA